AAUGAAGGGUGCAAGCGUUGUUCGGAUUUACUGGGCGUAAAGGGCGCGUAGGCGGCGCGUAAAGUCGGACAUGAAAUCAUUGGGCUUAACCCAAUGGCUGUGCCCGAUACUUGCGUGCUUAGAGUGCGGGAGAGGCAAUCGGAAUUCUCGGUGUAGCGGUGAAAUGCGUAGAUAUCGAGAGGAACUCCAGUGACGAAGGUGGGUUGCUGGACCGACACUGACGCUGAGGCGCGAAAGCUAGGGGAGCAAACGGG
rnacentral:rRNA from 1 species